AACGAACGCUGGCGGCAGGCUUAACACAUGCAAGUCGAGCGCAUUCCUUCGGGAGUGAGCGGCGGACGGGUGAGUAACGCGUGGGAACGUGCCCUCUUCUACGGAAUAGCCCAGGGAAACUUGGAUUAAUGCCGUAUACGCCCCGUGAGGGGGAAAGAUUUAUCGGAGGAGGAUCGGCCCGCGUUGGAUUAGGUAGUUGGUGGGGUAAUGGCCUACCAAGCCGACGAUCCAUAGCUGGUUUGAGAGGAUGAUCAGCCACACUGGGACUGAGACACGGCCCAGACUCCUACGGGAGGCAGCAGUGGGGAAUCUUGGACAAUGGGGGCAACCCUGAUCCAGCCAUGCCGCGUGAGCGAUGAAGGCCUUAGGGUUGUAAAGCUCUUUCAGCGGGGAAGAUAAUGACGGUACCCGCAGAAGAAGCCCCGGCUAACUCCGUG
rnacentral:rRNA from 1 species